rnacentral:rRNA from 1 species
GACGAACGCUGGCGGCGUGCUUAACACAUGCAAGUCGAACGGAAAGGCCCUGCUUUUGUGGGGUGCUCGAGUGGCGAACGGGUGAGUAACACAUGAGUAACCUGCCCUUGACUUUGGGAUAACUUCAGGAAACUGGGGCUAAUACCGGAGAGGAGCUCCUGCUGCAUGGGGGGGGUUGGAAAGUUUCGGCGGUGUGGGAUGGUGUCGCGGCUUAUCCGCUUGUUGGUCGGGUAGUGGCGUACCAAGGCUUUGACGGGUAGCCCGCCUGGGAGGGUGACCGGCCACAUUGGGACUGCGAUACGGACCAGACUCCUACGGGAGGCAGCAGUGGGGAACAUUGCACAAUGGGCGGAAGCCUGAUGCGGCAACGCCGCGUGCGGGAUGACGGCCUUCGGGUUGUAAACCGCUUUCUCCUGUGACGAAGCGUGAGUGACGGUACUGGGUAAAGAAGCACCGGCUAACUACGUG